UCCCUUGUAGCUCAGUUGGUAAAGAAUCUGCCUGUAAUGCAGGAGACCCAGGUUUGAUUCCUGGGUCAGGAA
rnacentral:tRNA from 1 species